AGGAGAAGGACAAACAAGAACUGAACUUCCCCCAUGUCAUCAAGUCUCUCAUGCUUCAACAGACUUUUGAACAAGAGGAAGAAGAUGUCUGUUUGUAGGACCACCGAAACUAAAAUACAAUGGAUAAUGAGUUUUGAUCCCUGGGGGUAAUAUUGGACGCUUUCAGUUCCUUGGAACGGGGUGUUGCACAAGACUCCUGUGCAAGUUAUAAAUGGAGGCAGGUGAGAUGCCCUUCACAAACAGCAGCCCUGCACUGGAGGAAUCGCCCUCAGCUCUCCCCAGCCCUGCAGCUGACAUCAAGGCUGUCAUCCAGCUCCUAAAGGAAGAAAUUAAAACUCUAGAAGUCUUACUGAGAUGGGAAAAAUCAUCCUUUAUGAGCGUGCCAACUUCCAGGGCUUGUCCAAAGAAUUCACCUCUGACAUUGCCAAUCUAAGAGAUGCUGAUUGGAAUGAUCUUGCCUCCUCAGCAAAAGUCAUUGGCCAGCCUUGGGUGGCUUAUGAGCAUUCAAACUAUGGAGGCCAAUUUCUGGUACUUGAGGAGGGAGACCAUAGCUUUUUUAGUUCAAGGAUGAAUAACAGGAUCAGUUCUCUGCAGAUGAUCACUGAAGAUCUGAGCAAUCCCCAGAUCACUCUCUAUGAGCAUACCAACUAUCAAGGGAAGAGCAGAGUCAUAACAGAAGCAACUAACCUGGCUGCAGGACAUGACAAUGACAUCAUGUCUUCCCACAAAGUCCAGAGAGGUGCCUGGCUGCUGUGUGAGCACAGUGAUGGAAGUGGAAUUCAAUACCUUGCUCGAGAUCAUGAAAACCUUCCAAAUUACAAGGCAAUCAAUUUCAAUGACAAGCUUUCCUACCUGCGUCCCCUUCGUCCUGGCCGUUCUUAUUAGAAUGCAAAUCUCCUAAAGCUGAGGAAAGAUGCAUCCCUGGCAAGAAAUUUGAGACCUAGAUCUCUGCCUCUGCUUUUUUCACUUUCUUUGUGAUUUGUUUUAAAAUGCCCUUGCAAUACCAUGGCUUUUGCCAUUGUCUGUAAUCCAUUUUGUCUUGGUGCCAUUAAAGAAGCUCUUGCAAGCAA